UACAGAGGUCCCGAGCGUUGUUCGGAUUCAUUGGGCGUAAAGGGUGCGUAGGCGGCUUCCUAAGUUUGAUGUGAAAUCCUGGGGCUCAACCCUGGAACUGCAUUGAAUACUGGGAGGCUAGAGUACUGGAGAGGAAACUGGAAUUUACGGUGUAGCAGUGAAAUGCGUAGAGAUCGUAAGGAAGACCAGUGGCGAAGGCGAGUUUCUGGACAGUUACUGACGCUGAGGCACGAAGGCCAGGGAGGCAAACGGG
rnacentral:rRNA from 1 species